AGUGAACGCUGGCGGUAGGCCUAACACAUGCAAGUCGAACGGCAGCACAGUAAGAGCUUGCUCUUACGGGUGGCGAGUGGCGGACGGGUGAGGAAUACAUCGGAAUCUACUUUUUCGUGGGGGAUAACGUAGGGAAACUUACGCUAAUACCGCAUACGACCUACGGGUGAAAGCAGGGGAUCUUCGGACCUUUCGCGAUUGAAUGAGCCGAUGUCGGAUUAGCUAGUUGGCGGGGUAAAGGCCCACCAAGGCGACGAUACGUAGCUGGUCUGAGAGGAUGAUCAGCCACACUGGAACUGAGACACGGUCCAGACUCCUACGGGAGGCAGCAGUGGGGAAUAUUGGGCAAUGGGCGCAAGCCUGAUCCAGCCAUACCGCGUGGGUGAAGAAGGCCUUCGGGUUGUAAAGCCCUUUUGUUGGGAAAGAAAAGCAGCAGGUGAAUACCCCGCUGUUCUGACGGUACCCAAAGAAUAAGCACCGGCUAACUUCGUG
rnacentral:rRNA from 1 species